rnacentral:lncRNA from 1 species
UCAAAUGUAAGUUUCCCCUAAUAUUAUUCUUCAUGGUCUCUUCGCUUGCCACCUAGCCCCAUACACACCCUAGAAUGAUAUAUAUUCUAGAAUUAAAUUAUAAUAUAAUAGAUUCUAAAAAAAUAAAAAAAGAAUUAUGAGAGAACAAAUACAAAUUAAUAUUUCUCAAUUCGGCUCAGUUGGUGCAAGAGGCCUAGAGUUCAAAUUCCUCACCCCAAAACUAG